rnacentral:rRNA from 1 species
GACGAACGCUGGCGGCGUGCUUAACACAUGCAAGUCGAACGGAAAGGCCCUGCUUUUGUGGGGUGCUCGAGUGGCGAACGGGUGAGUAACACGUGAGUAACCUGCCCUUGACUUUGGGAUAACUUCAGGAAACUGGGGCUAAUACCGGAUAGGAGCUCCUGCUGCAUGGUGGGGGUUGGAAAGUUUCGGCGGUUGGGGAUGGACUCGCGGCUUAUCAGCUUGUUGGUGGGGUAGUGGCUUACCAAGGCUUUGACGGGUAGCCGGCCUGAGAGGGUGAACGGGCACAAUGGGACUGAGAUACGGCGCAGAAGCCUACGGGAGGCAGAAGUGGGGAAUAUUGCACAAUGGGGGGAAGCCUGAUGCAGCAACGCCGCGUGCGGGAUGACGGCCUUCGGGUGGUAAACCGAUUUCGCCGGUGACGAAGCGUGAGUGACGGUAAUGGGUAAAGAAGCACCGGCUAACUACGUG